rnacentral:tRNA from 1 species
GACUGAGUAGCUCAGUUGGAUAGAGCAUCGGUUUCCUAAACCGAGGGUCGAUGGGUCCGAAUCCCUCCUCAGUCA